rnacentral:rRNA from 1 species
ACGUAGGUGGCAAGCGUUGUCCGGAUUUACUGGGUGUAAAGGGCGCGUAGGCGGGAUUGCAAGUCAGAUGUGAAAUGCUGGGGCUUAACCCUGGAACUGCAUUUGAAACUGUGAUUCUUGAGUAUCGGAGAGGCAGGCGGAAUUCCAAGUGUAGCGGUGAAAUGCGUAGAUAUUUGGAGGAACACCAGUGGCGAAGGCGGCCUGCUGGACGACAACUGACGCUGAGGCGCGAAAGCGUGGGGAGCAAACAG